AGGAAAGAAACAGAUAAAACCACUGUUUGUCAACAGGCAUCAGCAAGGACAGUGGAGGGGAGGCAGUUGAGGGAGAGAUCUCGCUGGAAAGUGAGAGGCUAAAGAGGACUGCAAGAACAGCAUUCUUGGUUUUCAGUGGUAAUACAGAAGCUGAUACCAGUGACGUGAAAAGACAACCUAUGUUCUUCUGUCCUUACCUGUUGACUGCAAACACUGUAAUAAACUCCCAGGUAGAUCAUGUAA